AUGUGUAUUAAUGGUGGGUGUUCUGUGAUCCAGGCAGGACAGCAUACCUACCACUGGGUGGAGACCAGGUUGGCAAUGGCUCUGUCUGGGGUCAGGAAACGACUGGCCUCUGUCUACAAACUCUCCCCCAGCGAGUGUUCAGUGGUUGUGUCAGUGCCGCUGCCACCGCUCCCGUGGUCCAGGCUGCCCGAGGCCGGACUGCUGGAGAUACUUCUGGAGGAGUGGCUCCUGAGGCCCCUGCAGACCCUCGCCUCCAUCAGGCCCACCGCUGAGCUAUACCGCCUCAAAAGGAAGAUCAUGGACAGCCCGUUUAAACGUAAGACUCGUUUAUCAGCCAAAUACGCAUGAUGCAACAUUACGGGAGGAAUAAAAGGAAUACGUCACCCACAAGAGGACCAUUUGUACAUCAGUUACUCACCAAGUGUUACCUUGAAUACUUAAAGAAAACGUAGUUUCUCUCAGUGAACACAGUGAUGGAAGAGUGCUUGAAGUCUUGGUGAAUUUAAGUAAAUUGGAGAGCGUUUAACAAAAGCAAAACUAUAUUAAAACAUAUGUUUACAAACUCUCACAAAACUCCUGCAGUUUAAUCUAAGUCUCGAUUAUCCAGUACUAAGUUCACUUCCCAAACACAUGCAUUUUCACUAAAAUCUUACUUACUGUUAAAACACUUCGGACUCGCACAGGCGACUAGUAUGAUGACAUGACCUCACAAAAAGAUUUUCUUGAAACCCCAGACAAACCAAAAAAAAAAAUGUUAUAGAAAGAAAAUAAGAUGACGGGAGAAAAAAACAAAUAAACAUUUCCCAUUUAGCAAUACGAAUAACUAGGUUGUCUUAAAUUCAUAUUACUUCUUGAUUGAGCUUUAAAUAUAAAUAGUUUACCCAACAGAAUAAUUGUAUUCAUUAUUUUUGUUUCAAUUUUCAUCCAGAACCCCGAACAUAAUAUUUAAAGGUGUACAUUUAAAAUAAAAUGUGACUGUGUUGUCUUAUUUCACAGUUUGUGGGUUGGUAGGCACUAAAGUGCACAAGCACUGAAAAAGUGAGUCUUCAAAUUCAUUUUACUUUCAUUUUAUAUAGAAAGGUUUUAGUGAAAGUACCUGAGCACACGACUGGAUACAGGAGACUUUGAGAUUAUACUGCAGGAGUUGUGUGAGAGUUUGUAAACAGAUGUUUUGAUGUAGUUUUGCUGUUGUUGAACGCAGCCCCAUUUACUUCAAUUCAUUCAGACUUGAUUCUUUGUUCACCUUGGAUGCAUGUAUUCGAGGUAACUCGGGGUGAGUGAUUGAUAUACAAAUGGUCAUUUUGUGGGUGAAGUUUUCCUUUAAUCUUAUUGUAUUGCUGUCCUUCUCCUUCUGUUCCUUUCUAUAAGACCAAGCUCUGUUGGUGGCAGAUCAGUUUGUAGUGACAUUUGACGGUCACCUGUAUGAGCUCCCCGGCUCUUGUGCACUGCUCCUCGCUCAAGACAUCAGCGCUGAGCCUUCAUUCACACUGCUGCGCAGUUCAGACUUCCUUUUGAUAGGAAUGAAUAGCAGCACCGUCAACAUUCAGCACACUGGACAGGUAUGUGAUAAUGUUGGUGACAAACAUUGCUCAGUGAACACCAGAAACAACUUAACAGAGUGGAGUGUGUCAAGUCAGAGAGCAAAAUGAACAGUGCAGCAGAGAGGUUUCCUAAAAAAAUAAAGCAAAUGUUUGUGUCCCAGGUGAAGGCCAACUGCAACAACGCUAUAACUCACACAUUUCACAGUGACAAUGGAGUGGCUGUCAGAAAAGUGUCAAACCUUGUGCAGGUAUCCAAUCAGAAUGGAGUGUCAGUGUCAUGUGACCUGUCGCUUGAGCUGUGCAGCUUCACCCUCGAUGGAUGGUUGCAUGGUAGGACUAAAACUAAAGAUUCAACAUAAGUUAGGAGAACAAACAUCAUAAUUGCUGAUCCUCAUUAUUGGUAACAACAUGUUUUAUCUACACAGGUAUGUCCACUGGUCUGUUGGGGACCAAUGACAAUGAAGCAGGGAACGAUUUUUCUUUGCCUGAUAGUUCUCAGGCUGAAAACUUGGAGGAAUUCUUCCACAGUUGGCAGGUAGGACAAUGUUUGUACAUCGAAUAGCAAAGCCAAUGUGCUUAAGGGCCUUAAACAUGCAUUCUUUCUAAUAUCCAACAGGGGGCGAC
rnacentral:lncRNA from 1 species